UACGGAGGGUGCAAGCGUUAUCCGGAUUCACUGGGUUUAAAGGGUGUGUAGGCGGGUUAUUAAGUCAGUGGUGAAAUCUCCGGGCUCAACCCGGAAACUGCCAUUGAUACUAUUAGCCUUGAAUUCUGUUGAGGUGGGCGGAAUAUGUCAUGGUAGCGGUGAAAUGCAUAGAUAUGACAUAGAACACCAAUUGCGAAGGCAGCUCACUAAACAGC
rnacentral:rRNA from 1 species